rnacentral:rRNA from 1 species
CCUUGCCAGCCCGCUCAGAAACUCAAAGGAAUUGACGGGGCCCGCACAAGCGGUGGAGCAUGUGGUUAAUUCGAUGAUACGCGAGGAACCUUACCUGGGCUCAAAUGUAUGUUGACGUAUUCUGAAAGGGAUACUUCUUCGGACAAUAUACAAGGUGCUGCAUGGUUGUCGUCAGCUCGUGCCGUGAGGUGUCGGGUUAAGUCCCAUAACGAGCGCAACCCCUAUCAUUAGUUGCCAUCAGGUCAAGCUGGGGACUCUAAUGAAACUGCCUACGCAAGUAGUGAGGAAGGUGGGGAUGACGUCAAAUCAGCACGGCCCUUACGUCCAGGGCUACACACGUGCUACAAUGGCCGGUACAAAGGGCAGCUACCUGGUGACAGGAUGCUAAUCUCAAAAGCCGGUCUCAGUUCGGAUCGGAGUCUGCAACCCGACUCCGUGAAGCUGGAAUCGCUAGUAAUCGUGAAUCAGAAUGUCACGGUGAAUACGUUCCCGGGCCUU